GGGCGGGACACGUGGUAUCCUGUCUGAAUAUGGGGGGACCAUCCUCCAAGGCUAAAUACUCCUGACUGACCGAUAGUGAACCAGUACCGUGAGGGAAAGGCGAAAAGAACCCCGGCGAGGGGAGUGAAAAAGAACCUGAAACCGUGUACGUACAAGCAGUGGGAGCCCCACCACUAAGCCAGUGGUGAACUCCACAUACGCAUCCUUUGCUGAGGAUACGGUUAACGGAGCGAAAGCGACGUUCAACCUCAAAAGAAGCAGAGGGGGCUUAGUGGUGGGGUGACUGCGUACCUUUUGUAUAAUGGGUCAGCGACUUAUAUUCUGUAGCAAGGUUAACCGAAUAGGGGAGCCGGAGGGAAACCGAGUCUUAACCGGGCGUUAAGUUGCAGGGUAUAGACCCGAAACCCGGUGAUCUAGCCAUGGGCAGGUUGAAGGUUGGGUAACACUAACUGGAGGACCGAACCGACUAAUGUUGAAAAAUUAGCGGAUGACCUGUGGCUGGGGGUGAAAGGCCAAUCAAACCGGGAGAUAGCUGGUUCUCCCCGAAAGCUAUUUAGGUAGCGCCUCGUGAAUUCAUCUCCGGGGGUAGAGCACUGUUUCGGCUAGGGGGCCAUCCCGGCUUACCAACCCGAUGCAAACUGCGAAUACCGGAGAAUGUUAUCACGGGAGACACACGGCGGGUGCUAACGUCCGUCGUGAAGAGGGAAACAACCCAGACCGCCAGCUAAGGUCCCAAAGUCAUGGUUAAGUGGGAAACGAUGUGGGAAGGCCCAGACAGCCAGGAUGUUGGCUUAGAAGCAGCCAUCAUUUAAAGAAAGCGUAAUAGCUCACUGGUCGAGUCGGCCUGCGCGGAAGAUGUAACGGGGCUAAACCAUGCACCGAAGCUGCGGCAGCGACGCUGAUGCGUUGUUGGGUAGGGGAGCGUUCUGUAAGCCUG
rnacentral:rRNA from 1 species